CGGUAAUUCCAGCUCCAAUAGCGCAUACUAAAGUUGUUGCAGUUAAAAAGCUCGUAGUUGGAUUUCUGCGGGGACGGAGCGGCCGGACGCAACUUGCGUCUCGAGCUAGCGCUUUCCCCGCAUCCUGCCGCGAACCGUGCUACCAUUAGUUUGGUGGCGCUGGGGAUCGGCUCGAUUACUUUGAGAAAAAUAGAGUGUUCAAAGCAGGCCACACGCCUUGAAUAAGUUAGCAUGGAAUAAUGACUAAGGACUUCGGUUCUAUUUUGUUGGUGUUCGGGACUGAAGUAAUGAUUGAUAGGGACAGUUGGGGCGGUCUGUAUUCCAAAGCGAGAGGUGAAAUUCUUAGACCUUCGGAAGACAAACAGCUGCGAAAGCGUUCCGCAAGGAUGUUCCCUUUGAUCAAGAACGAAAGUUGGGGGAUCGAAGACGAUCAGAUACCGUCGUAGUCUCAACUAUAAACUAUACCAGCUAGGGAUCGGUCAACGUUUAAUUAUUCGACUUGAUCGGCACCUUAUGAGAAAUCAAAGCAUCUGGGUUCCGGGGGGAGUAUGGUCGCAAGGCUGAAACUUAAAGGAAUUGACGGAAGGGCACCACCAGCCGUGGAACCUGUGGCUUAAUUUGACUCAACACGGGAAAACAUACCAGGUCCAGACAUAGUAAGGAUUGACAGAUUGAUAGCUCUUUCUUGAUUCUGUGGGUGGUGGUGCAUGGCCGUUCUUAGUUGGUGGAGUGAUUUGUCUGGUUAAUUCCGUUAACGAACGAGACCCCAGCCUGCUAAAUAGUGCGGCUGAGCUUUGCUCGGUGCGAGCUUCUUAGAGGGACUAUGAUGCGCGAUAGCACAUGGAAGUUUGGGGCAAUAACAGGUCUGUGAUGCCCUUAGAUGUUCUGGGCCGCACACGGGCUACACUGGCGCCUGCAACGAGCAUAUCAGCUGGCCCGAGAGGGUCUUGGCUAAUCUUUUGAACCGGCGCCGUGCUUGGGAUUGACCUUUGCAAUUGUUGGUCAUGCAACGAGGAAUGCCUUGUAAACGCGAGUCAUCAGCUCGCAUUGAAUACGUCCCUGCCCUUUGUACACACCGCCCGUCGCUCCUACCGAUGAAUGUUCCGAUGAAAUUUUCGGAGAGCGCCAGAGAACGGGGCUCUGCCUUGCAGAUCUGGAGGCUCAAAGUCACUUAAAUCUGAACAUUUCGAGGAAGGAGAAGUCGUAACAAGGUAGC
rnacentral:rRNA from 1 species